AUACGGAGGAUCCGAGCGUUAUCCGGAUUUAUUGGGUUUAAAGGGAGCGUAGGCGGACGCUUAAGUCAGUUGUGAAAGUUUGCGGCUCCACCGUAAAAUUGCAGUUGAUACUGGGUGUCUUGAGUACAGUAGAGGCAGGCGGAAUUCGUGGGGUAGCGGUGGAAUGCUUAGAUAUCACGAAGAACUCCGAUUGCGAAGGCAGCCUGCUGGACUGUAACUGACGCUGAUGCUCGAAAGUGUGGGUAUCAAACAGGAUUAGAUACCCUGGUAGUCCACACAGUAAACGAUGAAUACUCGCUGUUUGCGAUAUACAGUAAGCGGCCAAGCGAAAGCGUUAAGUAUUCCACCUGGGGAGUACGCCGGCAACGGUGAAACUCAAAGGAAUUGACGGGG
rnacentral:rRNA from 1 species